ensembl:lncRNA
GUCAGAGGAGCUGUGGGCUGGAAAAUGGGCGGGAGCCGAGCAGGGGUGUGUUUUCUGCAGCUGCUCUUAAGCACGCUGCUCUCAAGGAUUCUAUUGUGGGUAUCUUACCAUUGUUAGGCAGUUUGAGAUCCUAUGAACUGCUGUUUAUAGUGUUCUCUUCAUUUAUCCUUCAUUUACUGGAAUAUUCAGUCAUAAAAUAACUGGUAAAAAAUGUAGAGUAGUUGCAUUAUCUGCUGUUUGCCAUUGUGUUAGUAAUAAAGCUCCUGGAACGUUAAUUCAUUCAUGCUUUCUAACUCCCUUCUUUUAUUAACUGCUUAUUCAAGAGAAUGCCUUUGGCUCCGGGUCUCCCACUGCCCAGACAGAUCUACUCACCUGAGAAUCAGAACUACGAGCCCUGGAUGGUGAAGACAGGGUACGGUUGCCAAGGAUCCAGUAUGUCAGUGUUCAUCAAACCUUAUCUUGAAAAAAACCAACCAUCAACAUCAUCAUCGUCAUCAUCAUCUUCGUCAUCAUCAUCAUCAUCACCACCACCUCUUUGUAGUGCCAAGUAGGAGCAAGGAACUGAAGUUGACUUUAUUGUUUUUUAUUUUAAUUUUUACUUUUGUAAAAAUGAUUCAUUUUAUAUAUAGAACUACUCUCUCUCUCUCUACACGUACAUCUGCAUAACUGCAUGCCAGAAGAGGACAUCAGAUCACAUUGUGCGGGGUUAUGAUUCACUAUGUAGUUGCUGGGAAUUGAACUCUGGACUGCUGGAAAAGCAGACAGUACUCUUAACCAGUGACCCAUCUCUCCAGCCCUAACUGCACUUGAAAAGACAUUUCAUAAUCUGAAGUGGAGAGAAAAUCCAAACUAAACUGAUGGUGGUAAAUCCUUUAUCUACUACUCAGAAAAUUCAUGGUGGAGAAAGAUCUUCUGAAUGUAUGCCAUGUAAUGAGUCAUUGUAUAUAUUGUAUAUUAAAGGAUUGCAGUGCUUAACUGCUGAGAAUUCUUUGUAGCAUUUUGGAAAACUUCGGUCUUUGAAAUACUACCAUACCUCACCUAUAUCACAAAAGUGUCUCUAAUAUCUUUUACCUCUGCAAACAUUUCAUCCCACAGUAUAUAAUAAAUGAGUAACUGUCAAUUUCAGGGUCAAUAAAUAUUCAUGAAU